CAGUCGCCACGGGAAUACAGAGGGUGCGAGCGUUAAUCGGAUUUACUGGGCGUAAAGCGUGCGUAGGCGGCUUUUUAAGUCGGAUGUGAAAUCCCUGAGCUUAACUUAGGAAUUGCAUUCGAUACUGGGAAGCUAGAGUAUGGGAGAGGAUGGUAGAAUUCCAGGUGUAGCGGUGAAAUGCGUAGAGAUCUGGAGGAAUACCGAUGGCGAAGGCAGCAAUCUGGCCUAAUACUGACGCUGAGGUACGAAAGCAUGGGGAGCAAACAGGAUUAGAUACCCCGGUAGUCCCUGUCUCUUAUAC
rnacentral:rRNA from 1 species